rnacentral:lncRNA from 1 species
UCAAGAAUUGAUAAUGGGAUUUGCUCAAGUAAAACAAGGAUAUAAAGUAUCUAAAAAGAAUAUUUGAGUAUUCCAAAUCACAUGCCUUUGAUCAAGUUCACAAUAAGUCUGCAUGAUUUUAUAUACAAGGACGGAUUUACAAAAAAUUUAAAUCUAAUGUCUACUUGAGUUGUAAUAAAUUUUUAAAGUUUUCAGGGCAUGCCCAGUUUUGUUAAGUAAAAUAUCGGACCAAAAUUAAAUAUAAAUAUAUUUACUAAAUAUUUUAGUUGUUGUACGUUUAAAAUUAAGUAAAAUUAUGAUAUUAUGGCUUACAAAAUUAGAGUAAAAUUACCUCAAACAAAAUCUCAAAGGACUUAGCUAUGGUGUAACUGUGGUACCAUACUACAACUGCACCUAGUCAUUAGAUUUUUCACGAAUCCAAAGGCUAGGUGCAAAUUGUGAUAUGGUAUCACAAUUACACUGUAACUGGACCCCAUCUCAAAUCUACACAAUCCAAAUUUUCUAUGACAUAAUAUUAGUGCGUAAAAAUUGAAAAAUAAAAUGAAACGUAAUAUACGACAAUUAUUGAAAGGUUAUGCUUGCUCACCCAACACAAAUCCCCUUUAACAGUUCGAAAUUCCAUCCAGAUUAUGGAUCCUUGACUUCAAAAAAUUGAAAAAAAAAAUCCCAAUCAAAUUCAAAAUCUGCUAAUCAUAGAGCAAAAAUUAGACUUUGAUUAGGUUACUUAAAUAGAGCAAAUUAUAAUAAUAUUAUAAAGCAUAGCAUUUUUGAAAUUUUAAGUAUGUUUAAGAAAAAAAUGCAGAACUGAAGGCAUCUGACAAGAUUCUGAUUUUGACUGACGCUCCUGAGGAGAGAGAUUGCAGUCAUCACAAUUAAUGCAUGCAGAAACUGCUUUAAUAUUUUGAACCAGCCCUGUCCACCAGAUUAGAUUAGCAAGCACCAGUGCCCCAACACAACAUAAAGUUAAAGUGUUAAACCACACCCCCCACACACACACCAAAAAAAAAUAAAAAAAAAAUUCCUUAACAAAUCACAAUCACAUAAUUGAAAAAAAAAAAAAAGAGAAAAGAAGAAGCAUAUUCACAAAGAAAAAGGAUAAUUCACAAUCACAUGAUCCUCUAGCUCAUUUCUCUUAGCAAACAGAAGGAAUCAGAGAAUUCAGAAUCUUACAAAUCCCUUCUAGGCAAAAUUAAAGCAGAUGAUGAAUUGAUGAUGAUGAUGAAAGAAGCCUUUUUUUUUAAAAAAAAAAAAACUUCUUUUCCCCCAUAUACAUCAUCAAUGAUACAAUUCCAAGCGCCUAGAGCAUAAACUACAAAAAUACUUCUUUUUAAUCUUGUAGCAGAUGGGCAAGAAGCAGAACCUGCACUGACUCUCGAAAUCAAUGGCUAAAACUUUGCCUCCACAGUACGGACAUGAACCUGGAGCUUGUUGCCUCCCCAGCUCCCUCUCUUCUUCUGAGCAGACGUACACUAAACACAUUUUCUUCCUCCUUUAUCUGAUCUCUCGGGACUAAUUAUUAUUUGGGUUAGGCUAAUGGGUGUUCUUUUCUCUUCUCUCUAUUAUUAUUAUUAUUAUUAUUUUAUAUUUUUUGAGUGUUUCGGUGGGGAAAAUGUAAACAGAGCAAACUGAAGGCUCUCGAAAUGAUGUUGUGUCCAGACAGCAUUUAUAUAGAACACCAUACGGGUUGGUUGGAGACAAAUAUCAAAUAUUACCGGGUUACUUUUUACUUUUAAUAUUUACCAUUGCGAAAAAAAAAUUUAAGGUGAAAUAAUC